GUAAAGGAGGGGUACUAUGUAGCUUCAGUCUUCUGCUUAUGGCUAGCCAGUUAUCCCAGAACCACUUACUGAAUAGGGAGUCUUUUCCCCAUUGCUUGUUUUUGUCAGCUUUGUCAAAGAUCAGGUUAUCAUAGGUGUGUGGCCUACGAUUUUAAAACCCCUGAUUUUUAAAAUAGGCUCUCUGUUCUGUUCUAUUGGUUUAUGUCCCUGUUUUUGUACCAGCACCAUGCUGUUUUAAUUACUGUAGCCCUUAGAGAUCUUUCACGUCUCUGGUUAGCUGUAUUCCUAGGUAUUUUAUUCUUUUUGUGGCAAUUGUAAAUGGGACUGCCUUCCUGAUUUGGCUCUCUCCCUGGCUGCUGUUGGCGGAUAGGAAUGCUAGUGCUUUCUGCUAGUGA
rnacentral:lncRNA from 10 species